rnacentral:misc_RNA from 1 species
GAAGGGAUAUCAGCUGCGCAGUGCCGCUCUUCUCUGUGCCCUUGUGCGUGAGCGAGUGCCCGCGCAUCGGCAUUCUGGACAGCUUCCUCUCUGCCGACACAGCCCCCCCCCCCAUCCCAUUUCCACGCAUACACGCACACGGACAUCCUCAGCAGGAUCUCUAGGCCACACACGCGUCGUCUCCCCCCUGGCCGCCUCUCUGCACGUAUUGUUCUCUUCUCUCCUAAGCGUGUGCGUGCACCGAUCAUCAUGUCCUCUCGGCAGAUGCGCCGCUUGCAGGAUCUAGUCGAUCGUGCCACCGGCCUCGACGCAGACGACUUCGACGACGAUGCAGUGCCGAGGACGAUGCAGGUGAGGAAGUCGGACCACCACCGCCAACGGAAGAAGUCGAAGAAGACGGAGGCUGCCGCACCACACGUGCCAGGGACUGACAUCCUCGCUGGCCCUCCUACGCUCUCGUCGAGUACAUCAGAGCGACCCAAGAAGGGCAAGAUCGAUGCUAACGAGGCAGCACCCUCUGCUCCAGCACCGCCGCCGUCGACCAGCGUCACUACAGACGACUGGGAGGAGGUGAGCGAAGAUGAGGAUCACACCAACGGCAGUACAGCAAGGCGGAAUUCGAAGAAGACGCCGAUGGAGGACGCGGCAGCCCGUGCGGAGGAGACCGCCGCCGCCGCCGAAGACGCUAAAAAGCGGCGGAGGGCGGAGAAGAAGAAGUCGCGGCGGCAGCAGCAGCGACAGCGGCAGGCGGAGGAGGAGGCGCUGCUGGAUGCCGUAUUGGCGCGCCGCCAGAACGAGCAGGUCGACCCUGCCAGCAGCAGUGGCGUGGGCAGUCCAGUAGCGGAGCAUCACCCCGGUGGUGGGUCAGUGCUGGUCGCAGCAUCUUCAACAGGAACGGGCCCGUCAACGGGCGGUGCGGUGACAGGAGGCGGUGCUGGCGAGACUUCGUUUCUUCAACUCGUGAUGGCCUGCGACGCCCAUCAGCUCGACACGCGUCUGGAGCGGAUUCGCAUGUUUGGCGCAGAGGCAGUCGAGGACGUCGGCGACGGUCGCACGCCGCACCGCCGCGCUGACGGCCGCGUGCGGGACACCGGCAGCGUCUCCUUCUUCCCCGCACAUCACAUGACAGUGAAGUUUGUUCACAGCGCUUUCGCAACGCCCAACCGCUAUCGCUGGAUCCCGUACGACUCCCUCGGCAUUUUCCUCACCACCGAAGAGGCGCACGACGUGUGGGGCCAGGUAUGGCGCGCCUACCUCCUCGUCUGCUCCUCCCACGCCUUUCAGCGCGCACAGGCGUCGCUGGAGGCGUGCCAGGAGCGUUUGGGCGGCGUGCAAGACCUCGUCGACUGCCUUGCGCGAAACCGCGUCUACCACAUUCCGACCCUGCUGCAGUGCGUGUACGCGAUGGAGGCCACUGGCGAGAGCGCCUUUGCGAUGGAGCUGCUGGACGUGGCGCUGUACCAAGUCGGCGUCGUGCUGCGCCGUUUCGCGCUCUCCGGAACGUGGGUGUCGCGGCAGCUGCCAUGCCACCGCAGCGCCAACACGCUCAUCUUUCAAGUGCUGCAGCGCGGCGUGCAUGCGGCACUGAAGCGCGGCUGCCUGCGCACGGCCUACGAGCGCACUCGCUGCCUUCUCUCCCUCGACCCAGACGACCCGUGCGGCAUGUUGUUACUGCUCGACUACACCGCGCUGCGAGCGAAGCGUUGGGUGUGGCUGCUGGAGGUGCGCCACCGCGCCCUUGCAGUGCGUGCGGCACGCAGGCAGCCUCGCCGCGGUGCUGCCGCCGGGUCCGAGGAGGCGGAUGUGAAGGAGGCGCUGGCGGCUGCGGGGCUGACGCUGCGUGACGCCACGCUCGCCGAAGACGUGCUGUGCCUUCCAAACUAUGCGUUCAGCUGGGCACUGGCGAAGCACUUCAUUGAACGCGAGGAGGCGCGUCAGCGCUCUGACGAGGUGAGCGGCGGUGCGUGCCGGCCGUCCAAGGUGCUCCGUGGGCUCACGGAUGCGCAGCGUGCUUCCCUGGCGGCCACCCCGUCCGCGGUGGAGCUUCUCUCGGCGGCGGUGCUGCGCUUUCCACAGGCGGCGGUUCGCCUGGUGGACGCGCUCGGUGGUGUCGACGUGGUGUGUGGCACCGAAGGAGCAACGCUCUCGUCGUCAUCUCAGGCAAGUGCGUGGCAGCAGCUCAUGUGGCAGGCAGACGGCCACCCUGACAGCGCCGCGGAUGCCGCCGUGCACAACCGCCUGGCCGAUUUAUUCGUGGCCCGUCACGAGGAGCUGUGGAAGCUGAGCGAGUGUAUCUCGCUUCUGCGGCAUGUCGUGCGGCGUAUGCUCUCCGAGCCCGCGACUGGCGUCCGUGCUGCCGACAGCGGUGACAGCAGUGAGGAAAAUGCCAACGAGCUGUCGUCUGUCACCUGUGUUGGCCAGUCACGCUACCGCAACAUCACCCGCGACUCCGUCAUGGGCGCGAGUGUGGCGCCGAUUCCUGCCGAUCUGCUCGAGCCCGACGCUGCGGAGCUGGCCAUGGCACAGGAGGCCGCCGCGCUUGGUCUAGGGGCUGGUGAGGACGGCGCGCAGCCGGCCACCGUGCAGCGGGUCAUGCAAAUGCUGCGGGGCAACCUGGAGACGUUCGGUGAGAACGAGUACGUGCGCAAUCUGCUGUACGAGGUGCGCCGCGAGUUCCAAGACCGCAUCUGGGGCGGUGCCCGCGAAGGGUCUGGAGACGACGAGGCUGGCGGCGAGCAGCGUGACUGGUACGAUGUCGACGGGAGCGAAGACAAUGAGGAGCAAGAGUGGUACAGCGUCGCCAGCGGCGGGAGCGAGGACGCCGACGAUGACGCGGCUCCGGGCGAUGGUGACGAGGUCGGCGAAGCGGCGCGCCAGUGAGGGGGUGUGCGGACAGCGGCUCUGCUUCGCCCGACUAUCGUCGCUUCCUUCUUUCUCGUAGCAUCAUCACCCCCAACCAGCCAACCAGCCAGCCCCCUUCUUUUUGCGGCACUGCAGGCGGGCAACGACGCUGGCAACGUGCGUGCAAGAGGCAGUGCACUUGCGUACACGUGUGUGUGUGUGUGUGCGUACUGCGAUGCGGUAUAAUGGACAAGAAGCUUACAAAAUCCUGCAGCUGAGACUGGCCAUGACCAAGGGAACCGAAAGCGAGAGCGACGGCGUGAGCGAUGGGUGUCGCGGGUUGCUGUUGUUGAGCCCACACAUGCGUCAUCUUGUUGACUAUCCGGCGUUGGAUCCGACGUGCCCGGUAGUGUUGGGGCGGGAGGGGGGUGACCGUUGAUGCGAGAACCACGGCGAUUGCCACUCAGGUGCUUGUGCCCUCUGCUCACAGCUCCUCACCAUCGUCGCGAACUCGCUCACGCUGCGUUCAAGCUCACCUUAACGCGCCGUAAAGGUCUUGGUGAGGCUUGUCGAAGGCGCGCGCGCCAAUGAUGAUGAUGAUGAUGGUGUGUGUGUGUGUGUGUGACGGCAUCCUGCCAGGCAGCGCGUGCAGAGGGACCGCCGCUACGCGCCCUAUCCUUCCUCCCCCCAACGUGCCUCCCUUUUCCCAUACUCGACCCCCUUCUUCUGAGCCUGCGGUGACAAG